CACCUCUCCAAACUCUCUGUUAGCAAAGCGGUAACACAUGUUUCAGUUAUAACCUGACAGUUUCCAUGUGUAUGCAAAGUGAACUUCCUCUCAGUUUGAAAUAAAGACUUGAAAUCAGUCCGUCAGUUUCAUCAGAUGAGAAGCUCCCAUCAGAUCACCUUCAGCACCAACAUGUUCUCUGUAGCUCUGCUGCUGCUGCUGGCUGCUGGAUCCUGGGUAAAGUGUGAGCAGCUGACACAGCCACCCUCUGUGAUUGUGCAGCCAGGUCAGCGUCUGACCAUCACCUGUCAGGUCUCUUAUUCUAUGGGCAGCUACUACACAGCUUGGAUCCGACAGCCUGCAGGGAAAGGACUGGAGUGGAUUGGGGUGAAACAUACUGGGGACUCUCACUAUAAAGAUUCACUAAAGAACAAAUUCAGCAUUGACUUAGACACUUCAAGCAAGACAGUAACUCUAAAUGGACAGAAUAUGCAGCCUGAAGACACUGCUGUGUAUUACUGUGCCAGAGAGUGA